AAUGAAAAACAUUAAUAUUAUUGUUUGCAUGCGUAAAAUCUUUAGAAACUUUAUUUUUAACUCUGAUAAUCCAUUGCAAAAAAAGAAAAAUAGAAACGUUCAAACCAAAAACAGAAAACACACCACGUAAACCCAAUAAAACAUAGAGACUAAACUCAUACUGUAAGCGCUGCUCAUUUGUUAGACUCCAUGCCACUUGUUUCUUCUUCGUCCUCCAUCAUAAAGAGCAUUCCUGCAUCGGUUUUACGCUUUUUGGAACAACAACGUGCAGCAGGGAUUUCGCUUAUUUCCAACAGCAAACGAUAUGCUCCUUGAUCAAAAAACAAUCCUGGCCAUUCAGGGCUUUCUGU
rnacentral:lncRNA from 1 species